CUUUGGGCUCAUGUCAACAUGCAAACUGUCUUCACGCAAAAAUCAGUGUGUUGGAGCCAGUACAAGUGGCUGUAGAUUUCUCAACUUUAUCACCUAUUUCAGGAAGAACUGUCUUGCUCUUUAUGAUUUGCUGUUGGAUGACGCUCUAAGAACUGAAGAAGAGUAAUCAGACAUAAACCUCAACCCUUUGGAGGCUCUUGGCUGCCCAUCAGCACUGCAAAUUACGGGUACUCUACUUUGGGUACCCAAACUGAAAGAUAUUGGGAGCACCUCUGAGGAUGGGCAUCCUCAUUUACCAUGAGCUGGAGCAUUCCCCCGCUGAGGUGGGUCUCUAGGCUGGCACAUGCCCAGAGAAACAAGUCACCAUGAAGCAACACAAGCAGAGGCGAUGUGUGGUUUUUGGACUCUGCAAACAAAAACAUACCAUGAAGCCAGCAUCCACAGAAGAGAAAAUGAUCGCAACAUCGGGAUUUCCCAUAGGAUGGAAACUCUGGUCCAUCCAUAUUAUCCCAUGAAGGACUCUUCUUCAUGACUAGGAAGUGUGGACUUGUUCCAAGUGCAGUACAGGCUCCAAGAGUCCCAAACCACCAGAAGCUCCCAAAGCCCCAAGAGCCCACAAUCAAAGUAAAAAGGAGAGGGCAACAGAUGGAUGGAGACAGAUGGAGAACCACAAAGAAACCAGGAGACACAACAGGUCAGCCUGAUAACAACCAUUUGAGUGGUUUCCUCUUCAGCUCACACUCAGAUCUUACAGACCUGUCUUCCUUAUGCUGUUCUUAACACUUUCAUGUCUUAAAAGGACUGUGCACUUUAUGUCUUGGUUGUACAACAGUUCUUGAUAGGAAUUUAAUUCAUAUUUACCUUCAUCCUGUGAGCUCAGAGGCUGUUGCUAAGUAAGAGAUACCUAUUGUUGUGUGUAAAUGCCCCCCUCACAUGGCUUUUCUAUGGGAUAGAAGAGAUUAAGUC